rnacentral:rRNA from 1 species
UACGGAGGGGGCUAGCGUUGUUCGGAAUUACUGGGCGUAAAGCGUGCGCAGGCGGUUUGUUAAGCCAGAUGUGAAAGCCCCGGGCUCAACCUGGGAACUGCGUUUGGUACUGGCAAGCUAGAGUACGGCAGAGGGGGGUGGAAUUCCACGUGUAGCAGUGAAAUGCGUAGAGAUGUGGAGGAACACCGAUGGCGAAGGCAGCCCCCUGGGCCGAUACUGACGCUCAGGCACGAAAGCGUGGGGAGCAAACAGG